GGGGGAACCCUCUCGUCUUCUUCUCCUUGGGAACCAUUCCUCUUCCCUUCUUUCUUCUUCUUAAUUUCAUCAUCUCUUUGUCUCCCCAUCUCUCUCCUUAAAAUCUCAGAGGAACAGAACACUACUAUGUCGAUCCUGAUCAUGAAAAAGAAGAGGAAAAAGUACUACUGUGGUCGUCUUCACCAAGUUUACCACCGUCGUCGGAUGUUGCAAGGGUGCCUGGCGAAUCAUCAUCAAUAACAAUGGUUUCUGAAGAAAGUCGCCGUCGUUAUUGUCAUCCUCCUCCUCCAUCCUCAACCUAGUCAGGCAGACGGCCGGCCGGCCGGCGGCGUACAAGGGAAAGCCAGGCAUUUUGCUUUUAAAAUUUUAUAUAUUGUUCUUUUUUUUUCCAAUUCAUAUAAAAUGUACUCACUCCAUAGCUAAAGCUUCAUCCCAUUUUCAGGUUGGUUUUUUUACCUUUUUGUUUAAUUCCUACAAUACCAUUUUAAUUUAUGUAGGGUGGGGAAACUAAUUAAAUCAAUGUACUAGCUAGAUAGCUACUAUAUAUAUUGAUCCACAUUGACAUGUCAGUUUUCAUAUGUUCAACUUGGACAACCUACAAGAGUGUUUAGUUUAUUGAAUUGCAAGUUCAUUGAGCUAUGAAUUGAUUAGAAAAUGAGUGAAACUGACGAGAGAUUGUUGGUUGAAUUUAUUCAACCUGAUUAGUGUCAAUUCGGCUAAUAUUUAGCUCCUCUAAAUUCUAGGAGAGAGGAAAACCCCACCUCAAAAUGCAAUUAAACAAAACUACUAAAAAUCAUCAAUAAUGUAUGUUGGUUCUUGGUUUGUUUAUGGUAGUGUACAUGAACAUGUUAUAAUUAGAUAUAUGAAGGAUUUGUUGAGGAGGAUUAGUAAUUAGUUGCACGUGCACAGGCUUGAAAGGUGGGAAGCUUUAUGUUGAAUGGAAAGUUGGAUUGGGUGAAGAAAAUAAAAGUUAGGGUGUCAAAAUCUGGUGCUGAGGGAUUUGGGAUUGCUGGAGUGUACCGUGCGAAGAAUUUUGUUUACCUGAAAUUGGGGGCUGGUUUGUCCCGCAACUGCAAAGAUCAAUAUGGGCUGUGGGUUGCGUUGCAGAGAGCGAGAGAGAGAGAGAGAGGCUGGCCGGGUCCAGUACUGCCACAGAGUUCUGCCAAGAAGUUGGUGUAGUGUUGAAAUCAAUCCAUUCCCCACACACGAUUUUGAACACGAAGAGUUGGUACUUUUUCAUCAGCAUCAGUCAUUUUCAUAGCUAUUCAAACCCUUCCACCCACCGCCAUUUUCCCA
rnacentral:lncRNA from 1 species